GUGAAAAUGACAAGGUUAUAAACUACAUGCAUUUCUAAUUGUAAAGCAGAACAGUGGGUUUUUAUAUGCCCUUAUAGGUAAUUGAAGUAAUUGAAAAAAAAUGAAUCUCGAAAAUCUUAGAAGCUGGUUUAACUAACAUGAAUGAGACGGAAUGAAAUGAGAUGUGUGAAAGAUACCUUGAUAACUUGAUAAUUGUUAUACAAAGUUAUUCUUCUGUGUAAAUUGAAAUUUCGAAAUAUAUAAAUCCAGUCAUUCUGUAAAUUAACGCAUAUUCACUGACUGUAAAAAUUUGUUAUCAGAUGACGUUUAUUUAUUUAAAUUUAUUGUAUUUCGCUACGCACACCUAUCCACGGCCUGAGUAUGCGUGUGUUAAAACGUUUAAGUGUAUUAUAUCAGUGAAAUAGAAAUUAUUCAUCCAUCCUUUAGGAGUAUUUAGUCAAGUAUUCACAGCUCGUGUUGAUAUGUAUAUUACGGCUAUCUUGUUGAAGGAAUUAAUUGAAUGAAGGCGUAAAUUAUAUUUGUAUAGGGAUGGGUCUUUGAUGCUUUACUUGGUAGCCAUAGCAACAAAAAGUAACCACAAAAAAGUUAGCAAUACUGGUGGUGUGGAACAUCUGUGGAGUUUAUAGGAGUUAGAAAAAUUAACUCAACGGACCCAGAAAUGAAAGAAAGGAAUGGAUUUAAAAUGAUGAUAUAAAGGAAUUUUAAUGAAGG